rnacentral:rRNA from 1 species
AGCGCAGGCGGUUGCUUAGGUCUGAUGUGAAAGCCUUCGGCUUAACCGAAGAAGUGCAUCGGAAACCGGGCAACUUGAGUGCAGAAGAGGACAGUGGAACUCCAUGUGUAGCGGCGGAAUGCGUAGAUAUAUGGAAGAACACCAGUGGCGAAGGCGGCUGUCUGGUCUGCAACUGACGCUGAGGCUCGAAAGUGUGGGGAGCAAACA